GAUUAACGCUGGCGGCGUGCAUAACACAUGCAAGUCGAACGAUGAAACUUAACUGAUUUCUUCGGAAUGAUUUUAAGUGGAUUAGUGGCGGACGGGUGAGUAACGCGUGAGUAACCUGCCUUGGAGAAGGGGAUAGCCUUUGGAAACGAAGAAUAAUACCCUAUGAUAUGAUAAUAUCUCAUGAUAUUAUCAUCAAAGAUUUAUCGCUCUAAGAUGGACUUGCGUCUGAUUAGUUAGUUGGUGAGGUAACAGCUCACCAAGGCAGCGAUCAGUAGCCGGCUGGAGAGAGUGUACGGCCACAUUGGGACUGAGACACGGCCCAGACUCCUACGGGAGGCAGCAGUGGGGAAUUUUGCACAAUGGGGGAAACCCUGAUGCAGCGACGCCGCGUGAUUUAGAAGGCCUUCGGGUUGUAAAAAUCUUUUGUAUGGGAAGAAAAUGACAGUACCAUACGAAUAAGGACCGGCUAAGUACGUG
rnacentral:rRNA from 1 species